AGUGGACUGACUGGCCUGUGCU
rnacentral:miRNA from 1 species